AGAGUUUGAUCAUGGCUCAGAAUCAACGCUGGCGGCGCGCUUAACACAUGCAAGUCGAACGAGAAAGGGUAGCAAUACCUGAGUAAAGUGGCGUACUGGUGAGUAACACGUGGGUAAUCUACUCUUUAGUGGGGAAUAACCCUGGGAAACUAGGGCUAAUACCGCAUAAGCCUGUAAAGGGAAAGCAGUAAUGCGCUGAAGAAGGAGCCCGCGGCCGAUUAGCUAGUUGGUGGGGUAAAGGCCCACCAAGGCGACGAUCGGUAGCCGGCCUGAGAGGGCACACGGCCACACUGGCACUGAAACACGGGCCAGACUCCUACGGGAGGCAGCAGUGGGGAAUCUUGCACAAUGGAGGAAACUCUGAUGCAGCGACGCCGCGUGAGCGAUGAAGCCCUUCGGGGUGUAAAGCUCUUUCGACGGGAACGAUAAUGACGGUACCCGGAGAAGAAGCUGCGGCUAACUACGUGCCAGCAGCCGCGGUAAUACGUAGGCAGCAAGCGUUGUUCGGAAUUACUGGGCGUAAAGAGUGUGUAGGCGGUGCUCUAAGUUCGGUGUGAAAUCUCCUGGCUUAACUGGGAGGGUGCGCCGGAAACUGGAGUGCUCGAGCGUGGGAGAGGAAAGCGGAAUUCCUGGUGUAGCGGUGAAAUGCGUAGAUAUCAGGAGGAACACCUGUGGUGUAGACAGCUUUCUGGACCAUUGCUGACGCUGAGACACGAAAGCGUGGGUAGCAAACAGGAUUAGAUACCCUAGUAGUCC
rnacentral:rRNA from 1 species